UUGUUUUUCUAGCACCAACAGACUGAAAUAAGCAAGAAAAUCUCCAUUAGUGGAGGCUACCAAAUUAUGACCAUCAAUAGGAAAUGGCUGGUGGCAAGUAUUGAGCAGAAGACCAACCAUGAGUACUGGAAAACCAUCUGGAACUACGACACAGUGAGUGCACGAAGGGGCUUGUUCAGAGUAGCUCAAACACUCAGUAAAAACUGGGUCAAUAGAUAUGAAAUUCCACUAUUGAUGAUUGAAUUCCAUGUGGUCAAUAACUUUAUUUUACAGGGCUUUAUGGCCACCAAAGUGCUGCCAGAGAGAGCUUGCUACAUUUCCAUAAUGAACAGAACAGAGAUGCCCAGCUUUGAUGGACUUCCCCAGCUGGCUGCAGACCUCAGGAACCAGAGGCACCCAAGACCCCCUAGCAAGGAGAUCACAUUCACCCUCAUCAGGAGAGCCAUCCGUGACCUGGAAUCUUAUGGACCAGACAUCUUCUCCACGUGCACAGGGCUCUCAGCUUAUGUGGCCUAUGAAGUUCAUGGACCCCAAUUCAAUCUUGGAUCGUGCCUCAAGCUCGAUGUCCUCCAAUAUUUGGCCCUCACCUACUGCCACAACGAUAACUUUGUGUAAAUCCUGCCUUUCCUGAGCUGCUGCCCGAAUCCAGCCCUGCUGGGAUCAUUCCCUGGCAUCUCUUCUUCCAAGAGAUUCCUUCCUGAGGAUUGGGUGCUGGAACAGAUCAGUUGGUGAGCAGAGCUAGCAAUUAAAU
rnacentral:lncRNA from 1 species